GUGCCAGCAGCCGCGGUAAUACGUAGGUGGCAAGCGUUGUCCGGAUUUAUUGGGCGUAAAGCGAGCGCAGGCGGUUUCUUAAGUCUGAUGUGAAAGCCCCCGGCUCAACCGGGGAGGGUCAUUGGAAACUGGGAGACUUGAGUGCAGAAGAGGAGAGUGGAAUUCCAUGUGUAGCGGUGAAAUGCGUAGAUAUAUGGAGGAACACCAGUGGCGAAGGCGGCUCUCUGGUCUGUAACUGACGCUGAGGCUCGAAAGCGUGGGGAGCGAACAGGAUUAGAUACCCUGGUAGUCCACGCCGUAAACGAUGAGUGCUAAGUGUUGGAGGGUUUCCGCCCUUCAGUGCUGCAGCAAACGCAUUAAGCACUCCGCCUGGGGAGUACGACCGCAAGGUUGAAACUCAAAGGAAUUGACGGGGGCCCGCACAAGCGGUGGAGCAUGUGGUUUAAUUCGAAGCAACGCGAAGAACCUUACCAGGUCUUGACAUCCUUUGACCACUCUAGAGAUAGAGCUUCCCCUUCGGGGGCAAAGUGACAGGUGGUGCAUGGUUGUCGUCAGCUCGUGUCGUGAGAUGUUGGGUUAAGUCCCGCAACGAGCGCAACCCUUAUUGUUAGUUGCCAUCAUUUAGUUGGGCACUCUAGCGAGACUGCCGGUGACAAACCGGAGGAAGGUGGGGAUGACGUCAAAUCAUCAUGCCCCUUAUGACCUGGGCUACACACGUGCUA
rnacentral:rRNA from 1 species